UACGUAGGGUGCGAGCGUUGUCCGGAAUUACUGGGCGUAAAGAGUUCGUAGGCGGUUUGUCGCGUCGUUCGUGAAAACUUGGGGCUUAACUCCAAGCGUGCGGGCGAUACGGGCAGACUUGAGUACUACAGGGGAGACUGGAAUUCCUGGUGUAGCGGUGAAAUGCGCAGAUAUCAGGAGGAACACCGGUGGCGAAGGCAGGUCUCUGGGCCGAUACUGACGCUGAGGAGCGAAAGCGUGGGGAGCAAACAGG
rnacentral:rRNA from 1 species